rnacentral:misc_RNA from 1 species
UUCUCCGAACGUGUCACGU